rnacentral:rRNA from 1 species
CCAUGUCCAGGCUGAAGUGGAGGUAAAACUCCAUGGAGGGCCGAACACACGUCCGUUGAAAAGGCCGGUGAUGAGGUGUGGAUAGCGGAGAAAUUCCAAUCGAACUCGGAUAUAGCUGGUUCUCUCCGAAAUAGCUUUAGGGCUAGCCUCGUGAAAGAUUACUGGAGGUAAAGCACUGAAUGGGCUAGGGGUCGAAAGAUUACUGAACCCUAUCAAACUAAGAAUGCCAGAUAAUUGAUUCACGGGAGUCAGACAAUGUGAGAUAAGUCUCAUUGUCAAAAGGGAAACAGCCCAGACCCACAGCUAAGGUCCCUAAACAUUGUUAAGUGGAAAAGGAUGUGGGGUUGCAUAAACAACCAGGAUGUUGGCUUAGAAGCAGCCACUCAUUAAAAGAGUGCGUAAUAGCUCACUGGUCGAGUGACCCUGCGCCGAAAAUUCAACGGGGCUAAACAAUGUACCGAAGCUUGGGAUUCUAAAGUAAUUUAGAGUGGUAGGAGAGCGUCGAAUAAGGGGUGAAGUCAGAGCGGAAGCGCUGGUGGACUUUAUUCGAGUGAGAAUGCCGGAAUGAGUAGCGAGAAUUAUGUGAGAAUCAUAAUGGCCGAAAAUCUAAGGUUUCCUGAGGAAGGUUCGUCCGCUCAGGGUAAGCCGGGGGCUAAGGCGAGGCGGAGACGCGUAGCCGAUGCACAUACGGUUGAAAUUCCGUAGCCACCGAAAGAUUUAAGUACAGGGACGCUUUAGAAGUGAUGUUGCCGGGCGAUGGUUGACCCGGUCGUAAGGGAUCGAAAAUGAGUAGAGAAGUCAUCAUGGAAAGAGACAAGAAAAGCUGUAUGAAUAUCUUAGGUGCCCGUACCGCAAACCGACACAGGUAGAUAGGAAGAAGAUUCUAAGGCCAACGGGAGAAGGGUUGUUAAGGAACUCGGCAAGUUGACCCCGUAACUUAGGGAUAAGGGGUGCUCAAGUGAUUGAGCCGCAGAGAAUAGGCCCAGGCGACUGUUUAGCAAAAACACAGGUCUCUGCUAAAUCGAAAGAUGACGUAUAGGGGCUGACACCUGCCCGGUGCCGGAAGGUUAAGAGGAGAUGUGAGAGCAUUGAAUUGAAGCCCCGGUAAACGGCGGCCGUAACUAUAACGGUCCUAAGGUAGCGAAAUUCCUUGUCAGGUAAGUUCUGACCCGCACGAAAGGUGUAACGAUCUGGGCACUGUCUCAACAACCCGCCCGGCGAAAUUGUAGUACCGGUGAAGAUGCCGGUUACCCGUGACUAGACGGAAAGACCCCAUGGAGCUUUACUGUAGCCUAAUAUUGGAUUUCGGUAUUUCACGUACAGGAUAGGUGGGAGACUGGGAAGCACAGGCGUCAGCUUGUGUGGAGUCGACCUUGGGAUACCACUCUUGGAGUGCUGGAAUUCUAACCUGCGGCUUUGAAGCAAGUCGGGGGACAUUGUUAGGUGGGCAGUUUGACUGGGGCGGUCGCCUCCUAAAGAGUAACGGAGGCGCUCAAAGGUUCGCUCUGCAUGGAUGGAAACCAUGCGUCAGAGUGUAAACGCAAAAGCGAGCCUAACUGCGAGAAUGACGGUUCGAGCAGUAACGAAAGUUGGAGUUAGUGAUCCGGCGGUAUGUGAAUGGAAAUGCCGUCGCUCAACGGAUAAAAGCUACCCUGGGGAUAACAGGCUGAUCUCCCCCAAGAGUCCACAUCGACGGGGAGGUUUGGCACCUCGAUGUCGGCUCAUCGCAUCCUGGGGCUGUAUUCGGUCCCAAGGGUUUGGCUGUUCGCCAAUUAAAGCGGUACGCGAGCUGGGUUCAGAACGUCGUGAGACAGUUCGGUCCCUAUCUGUCGUGGGCGUUGGAGAUUUGAAAGGAGCUGUCCCUAGUACGAGAGGACCGGGAUGGACGCACCUCUGGUGCACCAGUUGUCACGCCAGUGGCACAGCUGGGCAGCUAUGUGCGGAACGGAUAAACGCUGAAGGCAUCUAAGCGUGAAGCCGCCCUUAAGAUAAGAUAUCCCUUCUGUUUACAGAGUAAGACCCCUUGAAGACUACAAGGUUGAUAGGCUCAAAGUGUAAGCACGGUGACGUGUUUAGCUAGCGAGUACUAAUCGGUCGAGGGCUUAACCU